rnacentral:rRNA from 1 species
AACGAACGCUGGCGGCAGGCCUAACACAUGCAAGUCGAACGUGAAGCCACCUUCGGGUGGUGGAAAGUGGCAGACGGGUGAGUAACGCGUGGGAACGUGCCUUUCGGUUCGGAAUAACCCAGGGAAACUUGGGCUAAUACCGGAUACGCCCUUCGGGGGAAAGAUUCAUUGCCGAAAGAUCGGCCCGCGUCGGAUUAGCUAGUUGGUGAGGUAAUGGCUCACCAAGGCGACGAUCCGUAGCUGGUCUGAGAGGAUGACCAGCCACACUGGGACUGAGACACGGCCCAGACUCCUACGGGAGGCAGCAGUGGGGAAUAUUGGACAAUGGGCGCAAGCCUGAUCCAGCCAUGCCGCGUGGGUGAAGAAGGCCUUAGGGUUGUAAACCCCUUUCAGCGGGGAAGAUAAUGACGGUACCCGCAGAAGAAGUCCCGGCUAACUCCGUGCCAGCCGCCGCGGUAAAAC